CCGAUGUAUCGCAAAAUUACCAGUACCAGGAUAUUUAGUUUGGAAUAUAAAAUUAUUACAUUACCUAAGAUAAAGCGAUACUCCUGCUUCGGAGAAGUGUGUGAAUGCACCUUUUCUCCGGUGCGGUGCGCCGAGUGUUUCCAAACGGCGCGCCGGUGCGUAUCUGACGCGCAGCGCUCCGGCUCCGGCUCCGGCUCCGGCUCAGGCUCCGGCAAGCAAACCACAUACAUCAGCGGGAGACCGAACGUGCUGCAGUAACAAGUGUUUCCCAACGGUCACUGGCUUACUCAUGCAAACUGAAGCUCAACUUCUGUCACCCUGAGUCAGUGAAAACCGUUCGAAUGGGAGGGGUCUAAUUGAGGCUCGAAUCCCCUCAACUGAGGUAAAAUAAAAUAUGAAUCUAUCUAUCUGGCUACUCAAUAAUUAGUCAGAGAACGUUACGCUCGUGAGGAAGUAACGUACCAUAGAGCAGUUCGUUCGUUCGCUGUCUGUAUUGGACGGUAUAUCUACAAAAUGACUUAUUUAAAUAAAAUAAAUACUUGUUUUUUAAAGACGUCUGAAUGAUAGUUUAUGUAACGUAACUUCGUGAAGUAGUGGUGCAAAUACCGUUGCGCGAGACGAGCCUCGAUCACCCUCAGCUGAGCUCGACCCAAAUUAAAGUCAAAAUUCGUACAUAUCUGUCUGUUGUCCAUAUGAGGAAGUGGCUUUUAUCACAAAAUGUUCAGCGCUAGUUCAGUUCUUAUUACGAAUGUUACUUUUCAGCAGAGCCGUUGAAAAAAAACCCGGCUUUAGUAGCUUUCAACGGAGCUGCAGUCGAUUAACUUUCUCAUGAAGCUGUCUUAACACUGAUUGAUAGUGAUCAAUAUGGAUAGAGUACCGAGGCUAACCUCUUCGUCUACUUUUAGCCUCUGUGAAAAAAGAAAACAUCAACGUUUGGAACGACAUUAGGGUGAGUAAACUAUUUUAAUUCGAUGGGGGUAAAGUUGAACUAUUCCUUUGGGA
rnacentral:lncRNA from 1 species